rnacentral:tRNA from 1 species
GGUUGUGGCUCAGUGGUAGGGCACUUGCCUCGCAUGCAUGAGAUACUGGGUUCGAGCCUCAGCACCA